CCCCCUGUCAGAGCAGAGAGAGUGAGGGGUCCCCCUGUCAGAGUACAGAGAGAGGGGUCCCCUGUCAGAGUACAGAGAGAAUCAGGGUCCCCUGUCAGAGCAGAGAGAGAGGGGGUCCCCCUGUCAGAGCACAGAGAAUGAGGGGUCCCCCUGUCAGAGCAGACAGAGUGAGGGAUCAGAGAUGAGAGAUGUCAGAGCCACUGGAGCUGCAGUAUUCUGCUCAGUGUCAGUGUCUGUCAGCAGAUUCCCAGCAACAGCAGAUUUCUCAUUUCCCCCUCUUCCUGACAUAGUCGUACAUUCCAGCCCCCCCCGCUCCUGUGGCAGUGGCUGUGUCCUCCAUCUCUCCUCUCCUCCUUCUCCUUGAAGAGACUCUGGCUGCCUCCCUGCUGACAGGACCUCUCCUCUUCUCCACUCCUGUAUCCAGUGGCAGCACUGCACUCUCCGUGUCCCUGGACAGCUGUGUGGAAGGCACACAGCGCCCUCAAGACAAAGGACACCCCGCCCGCGCCAUCGCCAUGGAGACGAGAGCCAAGCCUGCCGGCGGGGCGAAGGCGGAGCCAGUAAAGGACAGGAAGGAGCUGACGCCCAUGACGCGCAAACCCGCCGACGCCCCCGAGGCCCCGGCGGCCAGCGACCCACCCGCACCCCCUCCGGAGACCCCUGCCCACGCCGCCGAGGAGGCGCCCAACAGCGCCGCCACGCUGGAAAGCUUGAAGCCCUUCCUGCUGGGGGGGGCUGUGAUCGCGGUCGCAGCCGUCGUCGUGGGCGCCGUUCUGCUGGCGCGCAGGAAAUAACCGCUGCGCUGCCAUCACGAGCAGAGCUGGGCGGACAGCCCGCGGCUCGCUGGUCAGCACACACAGACACCCCCCACGCUCCAGCUGUCUGUUGCCUGCUGUCUCCACACCGCGCUCCGGAGUCCGCUGGCCGGCCAGCAGGGGGAGACGGCCCCUGUCCCCUCACACACACACACACUCACACACACACACUCACACUCACACACUCACACACACUCAUACACACACUCACGCUCACACUCAAACUCUCACACUCACACUUAUUCUCACACUCACGCUCACACUCAUACUCUCAUACUCACGCUCACGCUCACACUCAUACUCUCACACACUCACACCCGCGCGUGUAACCAGGUGAUUAGCUGCACAAUAACUCAUACGGCUCUGUGCACAGAAAACGUGCUCUACAAGUCACGCUGGUUGUCUUAGUAAAUUAGCCUCCAUCCAGUCAGGGUGUCCUCUCUCAGUUACACUGCUACACGAGCACACGAGUGUGCAAGCGUGUUAAACACGAGUACAUGAGUGUGUGAACAUGUUCAUCACGAGAACAUGCACAUGCUCACCCCUCGAAAUAAGCACAAGGCUCCAGUUGGAGCCUCUUCAGGCAGGAGGUGCAGAGAGAGAAGCUGCUGGGAUUUGACCCAGAGGAGCAGCCAGCGGUUGUGAGGGCAACAGUUUCACCUGACCUGCCACUAGAGGGCGACUUUAUUGUGUGUAAAUUAGAUAAGGUGUGAUGCAUUAUUGAUUAAUUACGUCUGGGAGACAAAUUCUAACACAGGGUAAAUGGGGUACCCCAGUCACACACAUUAGUCAGGGCUCUGAAGAGAGUCCUGGUGGCAGCUGUGGGUGAGUUGGUUAGAGUUUUUUUCUUUGUGUGUAAGAAGACACAGUGUUAAACUAAAGUCUUCCUGCACAGUAGAGCUCUUUCCAUUGGGAUUUCUCUAUGUGCUGAGCAAUGUUCCCUCUCAUUUUUAAUGGCCUGUGUGCACAAAAAUGUCAAGUUGUGCAAAUUUUUUCCCUAGUGACAAAAACGUGUGCGCACUGAAUUGAGUGUAUGGAAAAUUGUAAACCUGAAAUUAUUUUUGUUAGUAUAGUCAUUUUCAUAGAAGCAUUGAGAUCCAAAAGACCGGGACAGCGACUCAACGAGCCCAGUCAUAGAGACUGAGUGUUGCGUGAGCAUGAGUAGGGAGGCUCGAGACUACGAGAGCACAGAUAUCGAUUCUCGGGUAGCAGUAAUAAUACACACAGCCAAGUUGGGCCUCUCACAGCCAGUCUCACGUGGCCAAUUUAGCACAUGACUGUGUUUGUUUUAUUAUCGUAUAUUUUUUUAAUUUAAUCUUUUGUGCGCAGUUCAAUUUUCCAGGCUCACAGCUUAGAGGGCACAUUGGAAGCUUCCCGAGCCAGCUGAGAAGUAGACCUGUUAGAGUCUGUUGCUGAGUUUGGCAUCUGAUUCUCCUGGACAUUUCUUAUUUCUCUCUCGAGCCCCUCCUCUCGCUUACAGAUCGGCUUUAUCGAGACUCUCUUCUGCAGCCUCUCCCCUGCCUGUCCUUGUGUUUUCCUCUGUUUUCCUCCCCAGCCUAGCUGGAGCCUCGUGUGUACACCUGUGUAUCUGUGUGUCUGGAGUCAUGUGUGCACUGUGCUCCUUCUGCCUGUAGCUAUCAGCCAGAUGGUGCUGUCAAUCAGCACCCAGCUUCUCCAAUCACACUGGAGGACUGACUCACUUACUGCCCCCCUGGGACAUUACCUGCUAACACCUCGGACCCACCUCGAACCCAAUCACACGGCCUCUACAAACACCUCGGACCCAAUCACACGGCCUCUACAAACACCUCGGACCCAAUCACACGGCCUCUACAAACACCUCGGACCCAAUCACACGGCCUCUACAAACACCUCUGACUCAAUCACACGGCCUCUACAAACACCUCUGACUCAAUCACACGGCCUCUCUUCCUCAGUCUUGCAUCUACCCCAACCCUUCCGCAAUUAAACACAUUAAGACCAGACUGAAAACCUGGAAAUUAAAGACCAAAAAUAAAAAAAUCUCUAAUUCUAAGAGCAGGUGAAUUUUGAAAAUGUAAUUCUUGUUCUUAUCUCAGAGCGUAUAAGUGCAAUAAAUCAGGUAGGACACAACAUUAGCAGAGACGUAUCUCGUGAGAUUAUGAUUAAAAUUGCCAACUGUUAUUUUGAAUAUCAGUCCUCCUGCUGUCAGGGUGAUCUAGCUGUGUUAAGAAGGAAGCAGGACAGCUUUCUACCUGGGUUUCAGGUGAAAAGGACAGAACUUCAAUAACUGGAAGAGCUGACACAAUCAAACCAGCAGCCUUUGUCUAGUGUAGCAGCCCUGAGGGAGGGUGACUCCAGGCGGUAUUGAUCCAGGGAGUGAGUGGGCAGUAUUGAUUGAGGUACAUACUGGGUGGUACUGAUCAGGGGAGAUACUGGGCAGUAUUGAUCUAGGGAGUGAGUGGGCAGUAUUGAUCCAGGUACAUACUGGGUGGUACUGAUCAGGGGAGAUACUGGGCAGUAUUGAUCCAGGGAGAUCCUGGGCAGUAUUGAUCCAGGUACAUACUGGGUGGUACUGAUCAGGGGAGAUACAGGGCAGUAUUGAUCCAGGGAGAUACUGGGCAGUAUUGAUUGAGGGUAAUAGUAGGCAGUAUUGAUCCAGGGAGUGAGCGGGCAGUAUUGAUCGAGGUAGAUACUGGGUACUAUAGAUCAAGGGAGAUAAUGGGUAGUAUUGAUCCAGGGAAAUACAGCGGUAUUGAUCCAGUGAGAUACUGGGCAGUAUUGAUCCAGGGAGAUACCGGGCAGUAUUGAACCAGAGAGAUAACAAGAGGUAUUGAUCGAGGGAGAUACCGAGUAUUAAUCGAGGGAAAUAAUGGGCGGUUAUUGAUUGAUGGAGAUAGUGGAUGGUAUUUAUCCAGGGAAAUACGGCGGUAUUGAUCCAGGGAGAUAAUGGGCAGCAUUGAUUGAGGGAGAUAGUACUCUAGUACUCUGUAUUACUGUGCUGUACUACAGUCUACUGCACUAUACUCUAUUAUAACACACUGUGUUGUACUAUACUGUGCUGUACUAUAGUACACUGUUCUGUAAUGUAUUAUAACACACUGUACUGUACUAUAGUUUAUAGCGCUGUAUAGUAUGUCAAUGCUGUGCUGUAAUACUCUGUAUUCUAGUUCACUGUAUUAUAUUUUAAUGUAUUGUCUCUACCAGUGUCAUUCUAAGCCUAGGGUUACUGUUUAACAAUGUGGGUGUGUCAGAAAAUAAUCUGUACUGUAAGUAACUUAUUAUGACUAUUCAUCUUCAGAGCAGCAUGUAUUUUCUGUAAUUAGUUACAGAAGUAAUUGGUGUCUUUAUUUAUUCCUGUGCUUCUGUGUGUUAGGAUUUUUUUGGACCUGCAUUGUGCACCAAGAGAACCUAAUGGCAGACAAUAAAAUAUAAAAUUGCCAGAAAAAACACAAU
ensembl:lincRNA